rnacentral:rRNA from 1 species
CUUGCUACAGGCUUAACACAUGCAAGUCGAGGGGCAGCAUGGUCUUAGCUUGCUAAGGCCGAUGGCGACCGGCGCACGGGUGAGUAACACGUAUCCAACCUGCCGUCUACUCUUGGACAGCCUUCUGAAAGGAAGAUUAAUACAAGAUGGCAUCAUGAGUCCGCAUGUUCACAUGAUUAAAGGUAUUCCGGUAGACGAUGGGGAUGCGUUCCAUUAGAUAGUAGGCGGGGUAACGGCCCACCUAGUCUUCGAUGGAUAGGGGUUCUGAGAGGAAGGUCCCCCACAUUGGAACUGAGACACGGUCCAAACUCCUACGGGAGGCAGCAGUGAGGAAUAUUGGUCAAUGGGCGAGAGCCUGAACCAGCCAAGUAGCGUGAAGGAUGACUGCCCUAUGGGUUGUAAACUUCUUUUAUAAAGGAAUAAAGUCGGGUAUGGAUACCCGUUUGCAUGUACUUUAUGAAUAAGGAUCGGCUAACUCCGUGCCAGCAGCCGCGGUAAUACGGAGGAUCCGAGCGUUAUCCGGAUUUAUUGGGUUUAAAGGGAGCGUAGAUGGAUGUUUAAGUCAGUUGUGAAAGUUUGCGGCUCAACCGUAAAAUUGCAGUUGAUACUGGAUAUCUUGAGUGCAGUUGAGGCAGGCGGAAUUCGUGGUGUAGCGGUGAAAUGCUUAGAUAUCACGAAGAACUCCGAUUGCGAAGGCAGCCUGCUAAGCUGCAACUGACAUUGAGGCUCGAAAGUGUGGGUAUCAAACAGGAUUAGAUACCCUGGUAGUUCACACGGUAAACGAUGAAUACUCGCUGUUUGCGAUAUACAGCAAGCGGCCAAGCGAAAGCGUUAAGUAUUCCACCUGGGGAGUACGCCGGCAACGGUGAAACUCAAAGGAAUUGACGGGGGCCCGCACAAGCGGAGGAACAUGUGGUUUAAUUCGAUGAUACGCGAGGAACCUUACCCGGGCUUAAAUUGCAGAUGAAUUAUGGUGAAAGCCGUAAGCCGCAAGGCAUCUGUGAAGGUGCUGCAUGGUUGUCGUCAGCUCGUGCCGUGAGGUGUCGGCUUAAGUGCCAUAACGAGCGCAACCCUUGUUGUCAGUUACUAACAGGUUCCGAUGAGGACUCUGACAAGACUGCCAUCGUAAGAUGUGAGGAAGGUGGGGAUGACGUCAAAUCAGCACGGCCCUUACGUCUGGGGCUACACACGUGUUACAAUGGGGGGUACAGAGGGCCGCUACCACGCGAGUGGAUGCCAAUCCCCAAAACCUCUCUCAGUUCGGACUGGAGUCUGCAACCCGACUCCACGAAGCUGGAUUCGCUAGUAAUCGCGCAUCAGCCACGGCGCGGUGAAUACGUUCCCGGGCCUUGUACACCCCGCCCGUCAAGCCAUGGGAGCCGGGGGUACCUGAAGUGCGUAACCGAGAGGAGCGCCCUAGGGUAAAACUGGUGAC